rnacentral:rRNA from 1 species
CCUACGGGUGGCAGCAGUGAGGAAUAUUGGUCAAUGGGCGCGAGCCUGAACCAGCCAAGUAGCGUGAAGGAUGACUGCCCUACGGGUUGUAAACUUCUUUUGUCAGGGAGCAAGGUGCAGGUCGGGACCUGCUGUGAGAGUACCUGAAGAAAAAGCAUCGGCUAACUCCGUGCCAGCAGCCGCGGUAAUACGGAGGAUGCGAGCGUUAUCCGGAUUUAUUGGGUUUAAAGGGUGCGCAGGCGGAGGCCAAAGUCAGAGGUAAAAUCGCGGGGCUCAACCGUAAAAUUGCAAUUGAUACUGGCAGUCGUGAGUACAGUUGAGGUAGGCGGAAUUCGUGGUGUAGCGGUGAAAUGCUUAGAUAUCACGAAGAACUCCGAUUGCGAAGGCAGCUUACUAAACUGCCACUGACAUUGAUGCUCGAAAGUGUGGGUAUCAAACAGGAUUAGAUACCCCAGUAGUC